GAGUUUGAUCGUGGCUCAGAUUGAACGCUGGCGGCAUGCCUUACACAUGCAAGUCGAACGGCAGCAUGAUCUAGCUUGCUAGAUUGAUGGCGAGUGGCGAACGGGUGAGUAAUACAUCGGAACGUGCCCUGUAGUGGGGGAUAACUAGUCGAAAGAUUAGCUAAUACCGCAUACGACCUGAGGGUGAAAGUGGGGGGCCGCAAGGCCUCAUGCUAUAGGAGCGGCCGAUGUCUGAUUAGCUAGUUGGUGGGGUAAAGGCCCACCAAGGCGACGAUCAGUAGCUGGUCUGAGAGGACGAUCAGCCACACUGGGACUGAGACACGGCCCAGACUCCUACGGGAGGCAGCAGUGGGGAAUUUUGGACAAUGGGCGAAAGCCUGAUCCAGCAAUGCCGCGUGUGUGAAGAUGGCCUC
rnacentral:rRNA from 1 species